GGAGAGGUCGCCUAGCAGGCCUAGGGCGACGGUUUGCUAAACCGUUAAGGGGCUAAAACCCCUUCGAGGGUUCGAAUCCCUCCCUCUCCGCCA
rnacentral:tRNA from 1 species